UACGUAGGGCGCAAGCGUUGUCCGGAAUUAUUGGGCGUAAAGAGCUCGUAGGCGGUCUGUUACGUCUGCUGUGAAAACCCGGGGCUUAACCCUGGGCUUGCAGUGGAUACGGGCAGACUAGAGGCAGGUAGGGGAGAAUGGAAUUCCCGGUGUAGCGGUGAAAUGCGUAGAUAUCUGGAGGAAUACCGGUGGCGAAGGCGGCAUCCUGGACCGACAUUGACGCUGAUGAGCGAAAGCUAGGGGAGCAAACGGG
rnacentral:rRNA from 1 species